rnacentral:rRNA from 1 species
AACGAACGCUGGCGGCAUGCCUAACACAUGCAAGUCGAACGAGACCUUCGGGUCUAGUGGCGCACGGGUGCGUAACGCGUGGGAACCUGCCCUUAGGUUCGGAAUAACUCCCCGAAAGGGGUGCUAAUACCGGAUAAUGUCUUCGGACCAAAGAUUUAUCGCCUUUGGGUGGGCCCGCGUUGGAUUAGCUAGUUGGUAGGGUAAAAGCCUACCAAGGCGACGAUCCAUAGCUGGUCUGAGAGGAUGAUCAGCCACACUGGGACUGAGACACGGCCCAGACUCCUACGGGAGGCAGAAGUGGGGAAUAUUGGACAAGGGGCGAAAGCCUGAUCCAGCAAUGCCGCGUGAGUGAUGAAGGCCUUAGGGUUGUAAAGCUCUUUUACCCGGGAUGAAAAUGACAGUACCGGGAGAAUAAGCUCCGGCUAACUCCAGG